AUUGAACGCUGGCGGCAUGCUUUACACAUGCAAGUCGAACGGUAACAGGCCGCAAGGUGCUGACGAGUGGCGAACGGGUGAGUAAUGCAUCGGAACGUGCCCAGUCGUGGGGGAUAACGCAGCGAAAGCUGUGCUAAUACCGCAUACGAUCUGUGGAUGAAAGCGGGGGACCGUAAGGCCUCGCGCGAUUGGAGCGGCCGAUGUCAGAUUAGGUAGUUGGUGGGGUAAAGGCUCACCAAGCCGACGAUCUGUAGCUGGUCUGAGAGGACGACCAGCCACACUGGGACUGAGACACGGCCCAGACUCCUACGGGAGGCAGCAGUGGGGAAUUUUGGACAAUGGGCGCAAGCCUGAUCCAGCAAUGCCGCGUGCAGGAAGAAGGCCUUCGGGUUGUAAACUGCUUUUGACUGGGAAGAAAAGACUCCUUGCGAGGAGAGUUGACGGUACCAGCAGAAUAAGCCACGGCUAACUACGUGCCAGCAGCCGCCGUAAAAC
rnacentral:rRNA from 1 species